UGAUGCGACCAUACCAGCACUAAAGCACCGGAUCCCGUCAGAACUCCGAAGUUAAGCGUGCUUGGGCGAGAGUGGUACUAGGAAGUCCUCGUGUUGCAUCCC
rfam:Triticum aestivum genome assembly, contig: Triticum_aestivum_CS42_TGACv1_scaffold_082250_1DS